rnacentral:rRNA from 1 species
GACGAACGCUGGCGGCGUGCCUAAUACAUGCAAGUCGAGCGCAGGAAGCUGACGGAUUUCUUCGGAGGGAAGGCAGUGGAAUGAGCGGCGGACGGGUGAGUAACACGUAAGGAACCUGCCUCAAGGAUUGGGAUAACUCCGAGAAAUCGGAGCUAAUACCGGAUAGUUCAACGGACCGCAUGGUCCGCUGAUGAAAGGCGCUCCGGCGUCACCUUGAGAUGGCCUUGCGGUGCAUUAGCUAGUUGGUGGGGUAACGGCCCACCAAGGCGACGAGACAUCGCCGUCCGGGGAGGGUGAUCGGCCACACUGGGACUGAGACACGGCCCAGACUCCUACGGGAGGCAGCAGUAGGGAAUCUUCCACAAUGGACGAAAGUCUGAUGGAGCAACGCCGCGUGAGUGAUGAAGGUUUUCGGAUCGUAAAACUCUGUUGUAAGGGAAGAACACGUACGAGAGGGAAUGCUCGUACCUUGACGGUACCUUACGAGAAAGCCACGGCUAACUACGUGCCAGCCGCCGCGGUAACAC